UACAGAGGGUGCGAGCGUUAAUCGGAAUUACUGGGCGUAAAGCGUGCGUAGACGGUUUCGUAAGUCGGGUGUGAAAUCCCCGGGCUCAACCUGGGAAUUGCAUUCGAAACUGCGAGGCUAGGGUACGGAAGAGGGAAGCGGGAAUUUCUGGUGUAGCGGUGAAAUGCGUAGAUAUCAGAAGGAACAUCAGUGGCGAAAGCGGCG
rnacentral:rRNA from 1 species